CAUGCCUAACACAUGCAAGUCGAACGGAGCCAUCUAAACAAUCCCUUCGGGAAGCGUUGAGCGAGUUUAGUGGCGGACGGGUGAGUAACGCGUGAGCAACCUGCCUCUGUAUGUGGAAUAACGUCGGGAAACUGACGCUAAUACCGCAUAACGCAUAGAAGUCGCAUGUCUUUUAUGCCAAAGAUUUAUUGUACAGAGAUGGGCUCGCGUCUGAUUAGGUAGUUGGUGAGGUAACGGCCCACCAAGCCGACGAUCAGUAGCCGGACUGAGAGGUUGAACGGCCACAUUGGAACUGAGAUACGGUCCAGACUCCUACGGGAGGCAGCAGUGGGGAAUAUUGGGCAAUGGGCGAAAGCCUGACCCAGCGACGCCGCGUGAGGGAAGAAGGUCUUCGGAUUGUAAACCUUUGUUGAUGGGGACGAAGAAAGUGACGGUACCCAUCGAGGAAGCCACGGCUAACUACGUGCCAGCCGCCGCGGUAAAAC
rnacentral:rRNA from 1 species